GACGAACGCUGGCGGCGUGCUUAACACAUGCAAGUCGAACGGAAAGGCCCUGCUUUUGUGGGGUGCUCGAGUGGCGAACGGGUGAGUAACACGUGAGCAACCUGCCCUUGACUUUGGGAUAACUUCAGGAAACUGGGGCUAAUACCGGAUAGGAGCUCCUGCUGCAUGGUGGGGGUUGGAAAGUUUCGGCGGUUGGGGAUGGACUCGCGGCUUAUCAGCUUGUUGGUGGGGUAGUGGCUUACCAAGGCUUUGACGGGUAGCCGGCCUGAGAGGGUGACCGGCCACAUUGGGACUGAGAUACGGCCCAGACUCCUACGGGAGGCAGCAGUGGGGAAUACUGCACAAUGGGCGGAAGCCUGAUGCAGCAACGCCGCGUGCGGGAUGACGGCCUUCGGGUUGUAAACCGCUUUCGCCUGUGACGAAGCGUGAGUGACGGUAAUGGGUAAAGAAGCACCGGCUAACUACGUG
rnacentral:rRNA from 1 species